CGUCAAGAGUUUUUGCGCCAUUUUGGUGAGUGAUUUUCUUUUGCCUGCUGAAAGGUAAAAGAUGAUG
rfam:Agrobacterium vitis S4 plasmid pAtS4e, complete sequence.